rnacentral:rRNA from 1 species
CCAAUAGCGUAUAUUAAAGUUGUUGCAGUUAAAAAGCUCGUAGUUGAAUUUCGGGAUCAAUAUGUCGGUCGUGCCAUUGGUACGCACUGGCACUAUUGGUUUCUACCUUCUGAAGAACCUCGAUGUCAUUAAUUUGGUGUCCUGGGGUAUCAGGACUGUUCCUUUGAAAAAAUUAGAGUGUUUAAAGCAAGCUCGCGCUUGAAUACAUUAGCAUGGAAUAAUGAAAUAGGACGUUUGAUUCUAUUUUGUUGGUUUCUAAGAUCGACGUAAUGAUUAAUAGGGAUAGUUGGGGGCAUUAGUAUUCAAUUGUCAGAGGUGAAAUUCUUGGAUUUAUUGAAGACUAACUACUGCGAAAGCAUUUGCCAAGGAUGUUUUCAUUAAUCAAGAACGAAAGUUAGGGGAUCGAAGACGAUCAGAUACCGUCGUAGUCUUAACCAUAAACUAUGCCGACUAGGGAUCGGAUGAUGUUAAUUUUUUAAUGACUCAUUCGGCGCCUUACG